rnacentral:rRNA from 1 species
AUACGUAGGGUGCGAGCGUUGUCCGGAAUUACUGGGCGUAAAGAGCUCGUAGGUGGUUUGUCGCGUCGUCUGUGAAAUUCCGGGGCUUAACUCCGGGCGUGCAGGCGAUACGGGCAUAACUUGAGUACUGUAGGGGAGACUGGAAUUCCUGGUGUAGCGGUGAAAUGCGCAGAUAUCAGGAGGAACACCGGUGGCGAGGGCGGGGCCGUGGGCAGUAACUCACGCUGAGGGGCGAAAGAAUGGGGAGCGAACAGGAUUAGAUACCCUGGUAGUCCAUGCCGUAAACGGGGGGCGCUAGGUGUAGGGGUCUUCCACGACUUCUGUGCCGUAGCUAACACAUUAAGCGCCCCGCCUGGGGAGUACGGCCGCAAGGCUAAAACUCAAAGGAAUUGACGGGG